rnacentral:rRNA from 1 species
GACAGAGGGGGCAAGCGUUGCUCGGAAUCAUUGGGCGUAAAGGGUGCGUAGGCGGCGCGGUAAGUCGGGUGUGAAAUUUCGAGGCUUAACUUCGAAACUGCAUUCGAUACUGCCGUGCUUGAGGACUGGAGAGGAGACUGGAAUUUACGGUGUAGCGGUGAAAUGCGUAGAUAUCGUAAGGAAGACCAGUGGCGAAGGCGGGUCUCUGGACAGUUCCUGACGCUGAGGCACGAAGGCCAGGGGAGCAAACGGG